GGUUAAGCGACUAAGCGUACACGGUGGAUGCCCUGGCAGUCAGAGGCGAUGAAGGACGUGCUAAUCUGCGAAAAGCGUCGGUAAGGUGAUAUGAACCGUUACAGCCGGCGAUGUCCGAAUGGGGAAACCCAGUGUGAUUCGUCACACUAUCAUUACGUGAAUACAUAGCGUAAUGAAGCGAACCGGGGGAACUGAAACAUCUAAGUACCCCGAGGAAAAGAAAUCAACCGAGAUUCCCCCAGUAGCGGCGAGCGAACGGGGAGCAGCCCGGAGUCUGAAUCAGCUUGUGUGUUAGUGGAAGCGUCUGGAAAGUCGCAGGGUACAGGGUGAUAGUCCCGUACACCAAAAUGCACAGGUUGUGAACUCGAAGAGUAGGGCGGGACACGUGGUAUCCUGUCUGAAUAUGGGGGGACCAUCCUCCAAGGCUAAAUACUCCUGACUGACCGAUAGUGAACCAGUACCGUGAGGGAAAGGCGAAAAGAACCCCGGCGAGGGGAGUGAAAAAGAACCUGAAACCGUGUACGUACAAGCAGUAGGAGCCUACUUGUUGGGUGACUGCGUACCUUUUGUAUAAUGGGUCAGCGACUUAUAUUCUGUAGCAAGGUUAACCGUAUAGGGGAGCCGAAGGGAAACCGAGUCUUAACUGGGCGUUAAGUUGCAGGGUAUAGACCCGAAACCCGGUGAUCUAGCCAUGGGCAGGUUGAAGGUUGGGUAACACUAACUGGAGGACCGAACCGACUAAUGUUGAAAAAUUAGCGGAUGACUUGUGGCUGGGGGUGAAAGGCCAAUCAAACCGGGAGAUAGCUGGUUCUCCCCGAAAGCUAUUUAGGUAGCGCCUCGUGAACUCAUCUUCGGGGGUAGAGCACUGUUUCGGCUAGGGGGUCAUCCCGACUUACCAACCCGAUGCAAACUACGAAUACCGAAGAAUGUUAUCACGGGAGACACACGGCGGGUGCUAACGUCCGUCGUGAAGAGGGAAACAACCCAGACCGCCAGCUAAGGUCCCAAAGUCAUGGUUAAGUGGGAAACGAUGUGGGAAGGCACAGACAGCCAGGAUGUUGGCUUAGAAGCAGCCAUCAUUUAAAGAAAGCGUAAUAGCUCACUGGUCGAGUCGGCCUGCGCGGAAGAUGUAACGGGGCUAAACCAUGCACCGAAGCUGCGGCAGCGACACUAUGUGUUGUUGGGUAGGGGAGCGUUCUGUAAGCCGUUGAAGGUGGCCUGUGAGGGUUGCUGGAGGUAUCAGAAGUGCGAAUGCUGACAUAAGUAACGAUAAUGCGGGUGAAAAACCCGCACGCCGGAAGACCAAGGGUUCCUGUCCAACGUUAAUCGGGGCAGGGUGAGUCGACCCCUAAGGCGAGGCCGAAAGGCGUAGUCGAUGGGAAACAGGUUAAUAUUCCUGUACUCGGUGUUACUGCGAAGGGGGGACGGAGAAGGCUAUGUUGGCCGGGCGACGGUUGUCCCGGUUUAAGCAUGUAGGCGGAUGUUCCAGGUAAAUCCGGAGCGUCACUAACGCUGAGGUGUGAUGACGAGGCACUACGGUGCUGAAGUGACAAAUGCCCUGCUUCCAGGAAAAGCCUCUAAGCAUCAGGUAACACAAAAUCGUACCCCAAACCGACACAGGUGGUCAGGUAGAGAAU
rnacentral:rRNA from 1 species